UACAGAGGGGGCAAGCGUUAUUCGGAAUUAUUGGGCGUAAAGGGCUCGUAGGCGGCCAACUAAGUCGGACGUGAAAUCCCCAGGCUCAACCUGGGAACUGCGUCCGAUACUGGAUGGCUUGAAUCCGGGAGAGGGAUGCAGAAUUCCAGGUGUAGCGGUGAAAUGCGUAGAGAUGUGGAGGAACACCGAUGGCGAAGGCAGCCCCCUGGGCCGACACUGACGCUCAGGCACGAAGGCGUGGGGAGCGAACGGG
rnacentral:rRNA from 1 species